AUGAUGUUGGUACCAAAGUUGCAGAUGAGUAUGUUGGUGCUGCCAGCAUACUUGAUGCCAAAUCAUCUGGUGUUGGUAUUGGUGGGAAUGAAAAUCUUUCUGAUUGUGAAGAUUUCCCGCCGGAAAAUUUUCUGCCUGGAGGGCUUGAUUACGGUGAUGCAUUGCAAGAUGCCUCUAGUGUCGUCACAAGAUCUUCCAUCGUCAAACCCUGAAACUGGAGAAGGUGCUAAUGUUGUUAAGGUUGAUUUGUUUUUCUUUGCUGUUACGAGGUUGUGCACGAACCAUGGGAAACAUGACAAGUCGAUGUUUCAAAAUAGAGAAUGUGAUGCCAGUGUUGGUUCUAUUGCUAAAGCGUUUGUCCCCACUGGCAUGCUCAACUCAGACAGUGUUGACAUUGUUUUAUAUUUUCUACGUCAGAAGUACCGAGACACUGAUAAGUUGAUAGUUCCGAGAUGGGUGACGCUUCUUUUCCCUACUUUUGAUCCGCCGUCAUUUGCGGCUGCCAUGAAGCCUACUGAAGAAUCUGGGCAUUGGUGCUUGAUUGUUCUGAAUUUGAGGUUCCGUCAUUUCGAGUGUCUUGAUUCACUCCGCGAUGAACCCUGGAGUGAUGUAGUUAGAUUCUUAAGGACUAUGACAGAUAGCAUAAAGAAGCUUUGGAGGGAGUCCAGCGUAUACAGGGCCAAACCAUUCUCACCGGCGCAUAUUGAUGGUUUCGCUUGCGAGUUUGUGCGGGUGCCGCAGCAGAAAAACACCCACGAAGGCAUUCUUGACAUUAGAAAGACUUUGUUGUAUAGCUGCGCAACUAGCGAUGUGUUUGAUGUUGACUUCCGGAGUUUGUUUGGUAUCGAACCCUGUGAGUGGCUGGAUCUUGGUGAGCAUGACUACAUUAUCUUUGGCAGCCAGUUCUCGGAAAGAUCUGGUGUUAUGAAGGGGCGGUUGGGAGCACUGAAAGGUUCUACGGCUGCUUGUGUAGAGAGCCCCUCUACACCCAAGAAUCCCAUUGUGGAAUUGAUAGACAGUGAUGAUGAUACGUUUGACAAGAUUGUUGGCAUGGGAAGAGUCACCAGGAGCGUUGCUGCCAAGGGUGUAUCUCCCCUUGCUGGAAUAGUGGCCCGUAGAGCUGGUGCUGCUAGGAAGGAUCCUGCUUUGGAUUCUAGCAAUGUUGUAAGCACGAAGCAUGCGCCCACAUCUCCUAUAAAGUUUUGCUCCCCUGUGCAGCAGCUUUAG
rnacentral:rRNA from 1 species